UACGUAGGGGGCUAGCGUUGUCCGGAAUCAUUGGGCGUAAAGCGCGUGUAGGCGGUUUGGUAAGUCCGCUGUAAAAGUCAAAGGCUCAACCUUUGAAUGUCAGUGGAUACUGCCGGACUAGAGUCCGGAAGAGGCGAGUGGAACUCCUGGUGUAGCGGUGGAAUGCGCAGAUAUCAGGAAGAACACCAACGGCGAAGGCAGCUCGCUGGGACGGUACUGACGCUGAGACGCGAAAGCGUGGGGAGCGAACAGG
rnacentral:rRNA from 1 species